rnacentral:rRNA from 1 species
GAUGAACGCUGGCGGCGUGCUUAACACAUGCAAGUCGAACGGGAAUUACUUUAUUGAAACUUCGGUGGAUUUAAUUUAAUUCUAGUGGCGGACGGGUGAGUAACGCGUGGGUAACCUGCCUUAUACAGGGGGAUAACAGUCAGAAAUGGCUGCUAAUACCGCAUAAGCGCACAGAGCUGCAUGGCUCAGUGUGAAAAACUCCGGUGGUAUAAGAUGGACCCGCGUUGGAUUAGCUGGUUGGUGGGGUAACGGCCCACCAAGGCGACGAUCCAUAGCCGGCCUGAGAGGGUGAACGGCCACAUUGGGACUGAGACACGGCCCAGACUCCUACGGGAGGCAGCAGUGGGGAAUAUUGCACAAUGGGGGAAACCCUGAUGCAGCGACGCCGCGUGAAGGAAGAAGUAUCUCGGUAUGUAAACUUCUAUCAGCAGGGAAGAUAGUGACG